rnacentral:lncRNA from 1 species
UCUAGUUUCUAAAAAAAAAAUAAAAUAAAUAACUUCAAUCCAAUUAAUAGAUUACUAAAGAUCUUAAAAAUAUUCAAUGACCUUCAAAUUCCAAUUUCUAAGACUUCAACCUACAAAAAUCUUUAUAUUUUUUGAUCUAACUAUUUGAUUGAUCUCAAAAUUUGAGUACACAAUAAUUACUAGAACACCAACAUACUGCCCAAAAUUCACUUAUAUACAUACCACAAAACUAAGGAAAUCUUCAAUUUUAUAAACAUAAUUUUAUUGUUCAAAAUCUAAUCCAACCAAAAAAAUCACUAACUUUGAAAAU